rnacentral:misc_RNA from 1 species
GGCCGAGUCUCUAUUUCCAUCACUGCUGCUUCAGAAAGCAAAAAAUGUUAUAAACUUUGAAGCACAGAAUUACCGUUUUAAGACCGAAGAUUGCUUUUACUACAAGCCUGGAAAUAUCUGUGGACAGUUUCAUGAUUUACACAGAGCUUUUUGCUCUCAAAGCCACUGCAAGAUUGAUAUAGUACCUUUCAAGUUUGACUCCCCAUCUCCAGACGAUUUAGUACUGAGUGGAAUAGCACCAUCCAAAUUACGUCCCAAAGCUGAUACUGACAGGAUCUUACAGUUAGAUAUCUCAUCAAAUAUCAAGGAACUGAGUACAGAAGUAAAAAAGGAAUUGGCUGCGGAAGGGCAUCCAAGCUCUUCAACAUCAUUAGCAAAAGUUAAGAACGAUGAUUUGAAGGAUAGUGGUCCUGCUUCGAAAACUAGGGGAAAUAAUGGCCUAGCAAGCAAUUUGAACGAUAUAUCUGUAUCAUCAAAGCCUCAAAGUGUGGAUACAGGAAAGAGUGACAGUGCAGCAUCAAGCUCAAAGAAUAAGCCUGAGAAAAUUGUGCAGCCUCCUCAAACAGAAGACAACUUCAACCAGCUAAAUCUUGCAAUUGUUGGCCAUGUGGAUUCUGGAAAGUC